rnacentral:rRNA from 1 species
CCUACGGGAGGCAGCAGUGGGGAAUUUUGGACAAUGGGCGCAAGCCUGAUCCAGCCAUGCCGCGUGCAGGAUGAAGGCCUUCGGGUUGUAAACUGCUUUUGUACGGAACGAAAAGACUCUGGUUAAUACCUGGGGUCCAUGACGGUACCGUAAGAAUAAGCACCGGCUAACUACGUGCCAGCAGCCGCGGUAAUACGUAGGGUGCGAGCGUUAAUCGGAAUUACUGGGCGUAAAGCGUGCGCAGGCGGUUAUGUAAGACAGAUGUGAAAUCCCCGGGCUCAACCUGGGAACUGCAUUUGUGACUGCAUAGCUAGAGUACGGCAGAGGGGGAUGGAAUUCCGCGUGUAGCAGUGAAAUGCGUAGAUAUGCGGAGGAACACCGAUGGCGAAGGCAAUCCCCUGGGCCUGUACUGACGCUCAUGCACGAAAGCGUGGGGAGCAAACAGGAUUAGAUACCCUGGUAGUCCACGCCCUAAACGAUGUCAACUGGUUGUUGGGUCUUCACUGACUCAGUAACGAAGCUAACGCGUGAAGUUGACCGCCUGGGGAGUACGGCGCAGGUUGAACUCAAGGAAUUGACGG